CCCCAAAUUGCCCAGUCUUGGGUAUGUAUUUAUCAGCAGUGUGAAAAUGGACUAAUACAAUCCUUCAAAUUUUCAUGCCAUCUGUGCAAAAUAUAGAUGAGAAACUGGCUAAUUUAUAACUGCUGGAAUUUUAUUUAUUCCCUAAGUGAUUUGAGUUAAUACUGCAAAUUAAUAUAACAAUAUAGAUAUAUAUUGUAUAUGGGACCUUGGAUCAGUACAAACUGUAGUCUAAAUGCACUUUGUAUUCAAUAUGUCCUUGAUUAAGAAAUUGGUGAAUAAAUAAAUGAUAGGGACUGGGGUGGCAAGGGUCACACUAAGCUCAUCUGCGCUUGGAGAGUCAAGGUUAAACUAGAAGCAAAGAUGUGGAAUAGGAUGAGGAAAAAGCUGGAUGUCAGGUGUGUGCAGCAGCACCGUUAAGGCACAGCUUCCUACCUGGAGUUCCCAGCUAUUCACUAUUCUUCCCAUAGCGAUGAGUUGAGGCUCACUCCUCUGAAUUUGCCUAGUGCCUUCACACACCUCUAUAGCACUUUUGUCCUUGUCAGCUUAGUGCACUAGGCAGUGUCCUCCCAAGCCGUGGCACUUAGUCUUUUUGUUCUGUGCCCCUUUAGUCUUUUUGUUCUGUGCCCCUGGUCUCCUCAUAGCACCAGGUAUACUAUGGAGAUGUGGUCCACACACAGGCCAGAGAGCCAGCUGGGGCUGUUGAGCUUGGAAAUGUGGCCUGUGAUCUAAUUUCAGGAUGAGAAACUUAGAAAGUUGCCUUAUUCUUGAUGUUUUUCAAAUAAUUCUAGAUGUAAUCAUUUUGGUGGCUUAAAAGCAGUGCCAACUUUCUUAAUGGCAUUCUUCUACUCAAUAAAGCAGGCAAUUUAAGUUCCAAGGAUGUAUAUAUUUCCUAUGAAACCCAAUAAGUCUAUUUUCUUUUUGAAUGAAAGAAAUAUAGCCUCUAAGUAAUACACACACACAUACACCCCUAUGUGUACAUGUAUGUAUCCAUACAUAUUAUUCCUGUAUUGGCCUUCAUGUAAAAGAAGGCUGCUCAGUACUGGACUCCAUGAUCAGCAAAUGCCAAACUUGGGAAACGUUCAAGUCAUCAGUCCAUAGAUACAUUUAACCAGUAAUGCAUCAGUCUUCCCCAUAGGUAGAUCCCAUCAGAGAGACAUCAGUAGCCUCAGCUGCUUCCUCCUGGCUGAUACCCCAAAGACAUUAGGGUGUUCAGUGAUACCUGCCAGGUGCCCACCUCCCAGAAAUGGUGUUUAAAUGAUGGCCUAACAAAAAAGGUCAGUGGACAUCAUGUUAUGUGUGCAUUUCACCUGCAUAAAUGCAAUCACAGGGGCUGUAGUAACCAUAGAAGUGUGCCACUCAGAUUCCCUUUUAAGAGGACCUUUUGUGGGAAGCACAGCUGAUGGCAGCUGUUAGACUUUCACAUUUGAAACUGCCAAUGCUGUGCGUCAUCUAGACUCUUCUAGCCAACAUCUGGGUAUGGCAGGGGCACUGGGUCCAUUCCUUCUCUACCCAAUGUGGGAUUCCACUAACAGGCAGUGUUGUGUUUGCUUGUUGACUCCUUAUUGGUUUGGCUGAGAUUUUCUUAGAACUUCAGUGUAGUCUGAGCUUUUCCUGGCCAAUCCUUCUUUCUCCCUCUCCUUGCAUAAGUAUCCAAUCUGUGUUAUGAUCUGAAAGCUCUUCCUCAUCACUCCUGCUCCCUUUUUCUUUAUCUUUCAUAUGUGUUUUCCCCAUCAAAUCUCUUGUUUAUCUAAUCCCUUUUUGGUGCCUACCUCUCAGAAAAUCUGAAUUGAUACAGCAGCUCAUCUGAAAAAAAAAGAUGGGGUGGUGGUGGUGGUGGAGAAAACAGCAACUUAAAUAGUGCCAUCUACGAAUUAGGAGUGUUCACUGAAUGAGCAUGAGAUGCAGGUACCUUGUUCCCUCAGCCAGGUUCUAUGUUCCUUAAAGUCCUAAUUUUAGUCAGUAAAUAUUUAUGGCAUUUACUCUAUGCCAGACAAUGUUCUAAAUAUUUUAUUUAUACUGAAUUAUUUGGUGUUUACAUCAGCCAUAUGAUUAACUACUGUUUCCAUUUUGCAGAUGAGAACAUUGAAGCACAGAGAAAUUAUGUUAACUUGUCCAGUGCCAAAGAGCUAUUAAGUGGCAGAGCUGGGAUUUACUUCCACUGCACUGUUGCCUCUUUGGUUAGGAGCUCUUUGCUGUGCUGAGAUUGCAGUAUUUAAAGAUAGACACUGCACCAGGAACUGGAGGACAAGGUAGCCAAUUUCUUGCCAUUCUAUUAAGGGAGGAAGAUUUUAAACAAAUAACUACAACAAAAUGUACAGAGUGGCAUGAUCAAAGGAGUACAAGGAGCUAUCAGAGAUGACUAGGAGUUGGCCAGAUGAAGAAAGUGUAGAGGGAAGUGUCUUGAAACCUUUCCCCUGAACAAACCUGAAAGGUAGAAGACCAUGAGAUGACGCCUCUGGGGGACUGGGUAUAUAGCUCAAGGCUGUCCACACAACUGGGAUAUCCUUUCAUUGAGGAACCCUGGCUCCAUCUUCAGCUCUGGAGGUUCAUGCAAGUGGUUUGGAGCUAAUUCAUCCAAAACUGGCAUAGCGAUUCAGGAAUCCAGGUCUAAGACAGUUAGCACUUGCUAGGCCCCUGGACUCCAUUCAUGAAUCGAUCAAGCUCAGGCCAGAGACACAAGAGGGAGAAAUUCUUAGGGUUCUAAGUCAGACAUUUCCUAUAACUGAAAAACAAACCACUGGAUGUCAGAGGGAAGUAAAUACACUGAGUAAGGGUCAAUCAAAAAACUAUGGAGAAACUGAGUUAUAGUCUUCAGGUUAAUAAAUCCUCAAGUCUAGCUGGUUUCUAGGUUUCUUUUUUCCUGAGCCAAAUGUAUUUCCUUAUUAUUUAAGAUAGUCUGAAGUUUUGUUGCUUUGUUAUUGUUGUUCUCACUUAAACAAACCACCUCUGAUAUGGUUUGGAUGUUUUGAGCCCUCCAAAUCUCAUGUUGAAAUGUGAUUCCCAGUGUUGGAGUGAGUUCUCACUCUGAGUUCAUCCAAGAGCUGGUUGUUGAAAAGAUCCUGGCAUCUGUUUUGUUCCUUCUCUUGCCAUGAGACACACUGGCUCCUUUUCAAAUUUUGCUAUGAUUGUAAGCUUCCUGAGGCUGCCAACCAGAAGCUAAGCAGAUGCUGUUACUUUGCUUGUGAAGUCUGCAGAAUGAUGAGACAAAUAAACCUCUUUUCUUUCUGAAUUACCCAGCCUCAGAUGUUACUUUAUAGCAAAGCAGAAUGGACUAACACAACCUCAGAUCCUUUCAGGAGCAAGGCACAACAUAAAUAAAUAAAUCAAGACUAAAAAGUGACAGCACAUGGAACAACGGUAGCCAUUCAUGACUACAUCCGGCUCCCUUUGCCAGCCCUGCCUCUCACUGUGUGCACCUCUGCUUCCACUGCACCAUCCACACUCCAGAAGGACUGGCAGUUCUCUGGAUGCAUCAUGCCACCCCCUACCUUCUUGACUCUGCACAAGCUAUUAUCUACCAUCACAAUGUAUUAUUUCUGUCCAUUAAUGAGUCAACACAAAUAUCCCUUUCUAAGAAAGACCAACCUGAGCUUGCUGAGCCUGCUUACAUCCAUCUAUAUUUCUGUCUGUCUAUCUAUCUAUCUAUCUAUCUAUCUAUCUAUCUAUCUAUCUAUCAUAUCUAUCUAUCUAA